GACAAUAUUCUAGAGUCUCUUAACGGCAGCUCAGGACAAGUGAAAGCCUCCCCCCCCCUUCACUCCUAUGUGUUUUCUAUGAUGGUACAGUUCUAACGCAAAAUCUCUCUAGCUUGUGAUAGGACAGCCCUUCCUCUCUACCCCCCUCUCAUUGCUGCAGCAGGGAGUGAGGCAUUGUGGGAAACUCCCAGGUCGGGUCCUGCAGAGCAUCCUCUGCGUUGCACAGUGGGUGAAGCUGGGAGAUUUUGUUCGACAGAGUGAUCUGAAUGCAUUAGUGUACACAGUAAUAUAUUAGUGCUAAGCCUAAGUGAACUUACUAAGCUGUAAGUAGCAGGAUUUCAAGAUGGAGCCAAAG